CUACGGGAGGCAGCAGUGGGGAAUAUUGCACAAUGGGCGCAAGCCUGAUGCAGCCAUGCCGCGUGUAUGAAGAAGGCCUUCGGGUUGUAAAGUACUUUCAGCGGGGAGGAAGGGAGUAAAGUUAAUACCUUUGCUCAUUGACGUUACCCGCAGAAGAAGCACCGGCUAACUCCGUGCCAGCAGCCGCGGUAAUACGGAGGGUGCAAGCGUUCAUCGGAAUUACUGGGCGUAAAGCGCACGCGGGCGGUUUGUUAAGUCAGAUGUGAAAUCCCCGGGCUCAACCUGGGAACUGCAUCUGAUCCUGGCAAGCUUGAGUCUCGUAGAGGGGGGUAGAAUUCCAGGUGUAGCGGUGAAAUGCGUAGAGAUCUGGAGGAAUACCGGUGGCGAAGGCGGCCCCCUGGACGAAGACUGACGCUCAGGUGCGAAAGCGUGGGGAGCAAACAGGAUUAGAUACCCGGGUAGUC
rnacentral:rRNA from 1 species